UAAAUCUACAUUUAUGCCGCCAAUACUAAAUAGGGUGAUGAAUCUGCAUUAACUUCAUUUGUAAAUUAUCUGAACUCAAUCGAAUCUACAAUACGUUUUACUGUCUCAUGGAGCUCGUCUACGAUAUCCUUUUUGGAUAUCCUUAUUACCCUUAAUGCAGAGUGAAGCGCAUUACAUCAGAUCCCAAUGAACUGGAUUCCUCCAUAGAUACUAUGGCUGAU